rnacentral:tRNA from 1 species
UGGUGUAAUUGGUUAGCAUACUUAUCUCGGAUAUAAGAGGCGUGGGUUCGAGUCCCGU